AAUUAAUGAACUUGUUAUAAGUAUAUAUUUUGAAAAUAUAAAAAAGAGAUUCAAAUUCUCUAUUAAUUU
rnacentral:tRNA from 1 species